GCAACUCGCCUGCAUGAAGUCGGAAUUGCUAGUAAUCGCGGAUCAGCAUGCCGCGGUGAAUACGUUCCCGGGCCUUGUACACACCGCCCGUCACACCAUGGGAGUCGGUAACACCCGAAGCCGAUAGUCUAACGAAAGAGGACGUCGUCGAAGGUGGGAUUGAUGACUGGGGUGAAGUCGUAACAAGGUAAC
rnacentral:rRNA from 1 species